rnacentral:lncRNA from 1 species
AUCAGUUCAGCACAUAGCAGCACAUCCUGGUGUUGCCGAGGUAUUGGCUAGAAUUUAUUCUUAAUUAGAUGUUUAAAGCAUUUACUCCACUGUUAAAGUUGUCUUAGUGUAGUCAGGUAUUGACAUGACAUAAGAAAGCAUGAAACUACCACAUUUACAAAAUAUGAGGGAUUUGGGGUUUGGUUUUUUUUGUUUGUUUGGUUGGUUUUUUUUUUUUUUGGUUUUUAACUAUUUUAGACUCAAAUAAUAUCAUACCUGUGUACUUGUACAUAAAAACAAAAUUAUUACUGAGUAAAAAGAUUAAUAUAUGAACUAUCACAGCUGUCGUUAACAGUAUUAAUGAGGUCUGAAUCCGGAGGGUCCCCUGAUUACCAUGCUGACAGUUCACAUGUCAUAGGGCAGAACUCAGCAAGUCCUGUGGUUUCAGGUGUUAAUAAGUAAACGUCUCAUCCAACCUCACUGUGCUCAGCUUUGAAAAGAACAAAGAUUAUACCUCUGUACAUGUGGGUAGAUUUAAAGUGUCCUGUUUUGAUACUAAUUUUGAAAGUUGUUUAUCUUCUCUUGAUAUCUUGGUAAAACUGGCCGUAAGAGAAACCAUUUGAAUAUAUUUGAUUUUGUCAUAGCAUUUAUAAAAUGUAUGUUUCCCAUUAUAUUGAGAGUUUUAUUUUAAAAAUCCCCUUAUGUUUCUAGCACACCUUGGCCAUCACAGUAGACAAAGAAUUCAGAGAAGGCGAGUGGGUUAGGCUGGGGGAAUGAGUAUUCAUUUUUUUCUCCUGACAUUGUCUCUUAAGAAGAAAGUGCUGGCUGGCAUCUUUAAUGCGGGUUGUGAGCCUAAUUACAUAAGCAUGAGCCAGAAGGGAGAGGACUUUGCUCCCUGGCCUUUAAGAAGUGCCUCGUAGGUAAUCAUGGAAGUCACAGGUAAGUGCAGGAGCUUGACCGUAGGCAAGAGGUCUCUAAGGUGUUCUUUUCCUUUGUCUGAGUGUAUAGUAUUACGAUGCCUAGAAGGGGGGCGCUGUUGGCCCUCCCUUACAGGCACUUUCUAUUUCUUGCUGUAACUACAGCAAUCACAUACAGUACAGACAACCUCAAUCUGUUUAUAUUAGUGUGUAAAUAGAAAAACUGUAAACAGCUGUCUAGUCUUCUCCGCAGGCAUUUUGGGAAUGCUUCUAUACUCUGUUCUACUUUGUUAAUGGGGAAUAACAGCACAUCCUAGAUCACCUGUGAACUUUGGGGUCUUCUGAUUGCCCUUGGUAUCCUGAUAUUCUCAUUUCCAAGAUGAGGUAGAGACAGGGUUUCCUUGCAUAACAGAUUUGAGCACCUGCGUUCUGCAAACACAAUCUCAAGAGCAGUUCCAUAGCUCAGCUAGCCAUUGCUGCCCCGAUGCUUGCCCUCCACCAACGGAGGUCGCCUCUGCAGAGUCUACACUUUGCCCAUAACCCUCAUUCCCCAGACCUAGGCUUUGAGUAACUGCUCUGAUUCUGUCCGCCCACCCACCAGUGACUCACCACUCUGCACACUCCCAUCUUCAGAGAUGCGGAGUCUCUCAGGACAGCAGCUUCAGAUCAUGGUAUACAGAUACCAGUAGAAGAAUCGGACAUUGUACUGCCCUUAGCACCUUAACUCUACUUAACAAUCACAACUAGAUUCAGAAAUACAAGAAAGAUAUAUAGACUAUGUCAGGUCCUUAAGUUAGGAAUUAGGACCAAAGGCUAUUAACUUACAUUCACAUUAUCCUCAUGUAGCCAAGAGUGGUGAUGUUUUGGAGAAUACCAGUCCAGCCAGGCUAACAUGAAGAUGACAGAACUGUGGUGUUGAGCCUGAAGACAUCCUAAAAUGGUUUCCCUUGCUCCAUUUUUCUUCACAUUUGCUUACAUAGCAAAGACCAGCAUUAAAUGUCUAAAGGAAUUUUUAAUUUGAGAGCUAGUAUUACAAAAUAAACCUGCUAAAACGGGCUUUAAAAGACAGCAAAAUAAGCCAUAUGUAGUGGUGUUAAAACUAAUCCCAGCACUCAGGAAGCUGAGACAGGAGACUCGCUGGGCAUACAAGGUCAACCUGGGAUAAAUAGUAUCAGCCACCAUGACUACAAAGGGAAAGACUGUCACAAAGGAAAAGAAGAAGGAAGGAAAAGCCAGCAGUCAACCAUCAUGUGUUUCUGUAGAUUCAGAUGUGAUAGAUUCAGGAUGCUUCUUAUAAAACAUCUGUGUCAUGUUCCUUAAAGCAGGUGCGCUCCUUUAAGACCAUGACAGUAGGCUAAGGGAAAGAGUGAAAUCCAACACUCAAAGUGAGAGCUUAUAUUUAACCCUAAAGUGGAUUGAAAUCGGGGAGAGAUGUAAUACAGGAUACAGGUGGGCUAAUUAUGCAAUAUUUCUUCUUUCUAAUUCUCUAACUCUGUACUGUUCCUAAAAAUGGAUGAGUGAGUCUCUGUGGUGUUGCCUGCUCAAUGUGCAUAUCCUUGGUAGACAUUUCUCAUAGUGUGUACUUAAAAAGUGCCUGACAUUGAUUUGUGUUGAUUUCUAAGUCCAUGUAAUAAACGAUACAUGUUUUCUAUGAUAGAU